AUUGAACGCUGGCGGUAGGCCUAACACAUGCAAGCCGAACGCGAAAGUCCUUCGGGAUGAGUAGAGUGGCGGACGGGUGAGUAACGCGUAGGAAUCUAUCCUGUAGUGGGGGAUAACGUUUCGAAAGGAACGCUAAUACCGCAUACGCCCCACGGGGGAAAGCGGGGGAUCUUCGGACCUCGUGCUAUAGGAGGAGCCUGCGUCGGAUUAGCUAGUUGGUGAGGUAAAGGCUCACCAAGGCGACGAUCCGUAGCUGGUCUGAGAGGAUGAUCAGCCACACCGGAACUGAGACACGGUCCGGACUCCUACGGGAGGCAGCAGUGGGGAAUAUUGCGCAAUGGGCGAAAGCCUGACGCAGCCAUACCGCGUGUGUGAAGAAGGCCUUCGGGUUGUAAAGCACUUUCAGUGGGGAGGAAAAGCUGGUGGCUAAUAUCCAUCGGCCGUGACGCUACCCACAGAAGAAGCACCGGCUAAUUCCGUGCCAGCCGCCGCGGUAA
rnacentral:rRNA from 1 species